rnacentral:rRNA from 1 species
GAUGAACGCUGGCGGCGUGCUUAACACAUGCAAGUCGAACGAAGCACUUAACUUGAUUUCUUCGGAUUGAUUGUUCUGUGACUGAGUGGCGGACGGGUGAGUAACGCGUGGGUAACCUGCCUCAUACAGGGGGAUAACAGUUAGAAAUGACUGCUAAUACCGCAUAUGCCUUAACUAUCGCAUGAUAGAAGAGGGAAAGGAGAAAUCCGCUAACAGAUGGGCUUGCGUCUGAUUAGAUAGUUGGUGGGGUAACGGCCUACCAAGUCGACGAUCAGUAGCCGGACUGAGAGGUUGAACGGCCACAUUGGGACUGAGAUACGGCCCAG